rnacentral:rRNA from 1 species
UGGGGAAUUUUCCGCAAUGGGCGCAAGCCUGACGGAGCAAUACCGCGUGAGGGAGGAAGGCUUUUGGGCUGUAAACUUCUUUUCUCUAGGAAGAAGGACUGACGGUACUAGAGGAAUCAGCAUCGGCUAACUCCGUGCCAGCAGCCGCGGUAAGACGGAGGAUGCAAGCGUUAUCCGGAAUUAUUGGGCGUAAAGCGUCCGCAGGUGGCACUUCAAGUCUGCUGUCAAAGACCAGAGCUCAACUCUGGGCAGGCGGUGGAAACUGGGGAGCUAGAGUACGGUAGGGGUAGAGGGAAUUUCCAGUGUAGCGGUGAAAUGCGUAGAGAUUGGAAAGAACACCAGUGGCGAAGGCGCUCUACUGGACCUGUACUGACACUAAGGGACGAAAGCUAGGGGAGCGAAAGGGAUUAGAUACCCCUGUAGUCC